GUAUCUAAUAAAGGUUCUUUUUAGCUCACCUGGCCCGAAGGGCCAAGUGAGCUUUUCCCAUCACUUUGCGUCCAGCGUCCGUCGUCGUCCUGCGUCCGUCGUCGUCCGUCGUCGUUAACUUUUACAAAAAUCUUCUCCUCUGAAACUACUAGGCCAAAUUAAACCAAACUUGGCCACAAUCAUCAUUGGGGUAUCUAGUUUAAAAAAUGUGUCCGGUGACCCGGCCAACCAACCAAGAUGGCCGCCAUGGCUAAAAAUAGAACAUGGGGGUAAAAUGCAGUUUUUGGGUUAUAACUCAAAAACCAAAGCAUUUAGAGCAAAUCUGACAUGGGGUAAAACUGUUUAUCAGGUCAAGAUCUAUCUGCCCUGAAAUUUUCAGAUGAAUUGGACAACCCGUUGUUGGGUUGCUGCCCCUGAAUUGAUAAUUUUAAGGAAAUUUUGCUGUUUUUGGUUAUUAUCUUGAAUAUUAUUAUAGAUAGAGAUAAACUGUAAACAGCAAUAAUGUUCAGCAAAGUAAGAUUUACAAAUAAGUCAACAUGACCGAAAUGGUCAGUUGACCCCUUUAGGAGUUAUUGCCCUUUUUAGUCCAUUUUUAACCAUUUUUCGUAAAUCUUAGUUAUCUUUUACAAAAAUCUUCUCCUCUGAAACUACUGGGCCAAAUUAAACCAAACUUGGCCACAAUCAUCAUUGGGGUAUCUAGUUUAAAAAAUGUGUGGCGUGACCCGGCCAACCAACCAAGAUGGCCGCCAUGGCUAAAAAUAGAACAUAGGGGUAAAAUGCAGUUUUUGGCUUAUAACUCAAAAACCAAAGCAUUUAGAGCAAAUCUGACAGGGGUAAAAUUGUUUAUCAGGUCAAGAUCUAUCUGCCCUGAAAUUUUCAGAUGAAUUGGAC
rnacentral:lncRNA from 1 species